rnacentral:tRNA from 1 species
AACGUUAUAUUUUAAGUAUAAAAGGUCUGAUUUGCAUUCAGGUGUUGGGAAGAAUCUCUAGCGUUG